rnacentral:lncRNA from 1 species
CCCCGGGCGGGGUGGCGGCCGGGAGCCGCCUGAAGGCGGCGGCCGCGGCGCGCUUGAACCGGCUGAAGAAGAAGCAAUACGUGCUGGGACUGGAGAGCCGCCUGCAGGGCCUGGCCGCUGAGAACCGGCAGCUGCGGGACCGCAACCGGGGGCUGAACCGGCGCCUGCGGGAUCUGGAGUGGGAGACCAGCUACCUGCGGGCCGUCCUGGCCAACCAAAGCGCCCUGGGGCAGCUGCUGAGCCGCCUGGCCGGGGCGGGAGGGCUCAGGCUCCGUACCAGCCUCUUCAGGGACACGGACCCGCCCCAUCAGCACCCGCCACAGGCCGGCGAGAGCCGCGACCACGACUACGCCCUGCCGAGCCAGGAUGCUGGGGAGUCGGAGGGGGAGGAGCGGCCGGCCUCCGGCGGGAUCUGCCUCCACGUGGACAGGGAUCAGUUGUCGGUGGAGUUCUGCUCCUUGUGUGCCAGGCGGGCAUGUGCCUCCUUCAAAAUUUUCUUUUUUAGGUGCUUGCCCUGCCAGGCUCCGUUGUGUAGGGGUUAAAGAACAGUCGUUUUCCACCUCGCAACCUGUGGAUACAGCUGUGUUGGGGCAGAAGAGACGGGACCAGCUGCUGGCCACAUUUCCUGCUUUAUUUUAAAAGGUAGUAUAAGAAAUGGGGGAAAAAGAGGUAACAGGGCUUCUGCUGUCUUUCAUUUUUGAAAAGCUUGAAUGUUUGGAAAAACUAAUCUCACCAAUCCAAAGUUAGUGUGAUACUAAUUUGAAAAGUGACAAUGUACAAAGGUAAACUUCUGCUUUCUUUGUAUUCAGAGUUGCAUGUUCACAGAAGUACAGAGCCAGCACAGCUAAGAACUAGUUAGCUGUGGAUUCUGUUCCAUCAUAUGCAGUAUCAGCUGGAUUGUCUAUAUAGAGUUCCAGUUUUUUACACUUCUACAACCACAUUGUAGGCAGUGGGGUAGUCCAAGUGUCAUUAAGAGCCUAAUGUAACCUUUAGAGCUCUUAUUCUUGGUGAUGUGUGAGCUGGGAAGAACUGGACUUGAUUGAGCCUAGACUGAAUUUGUACAGCUCAUAGUUGGAGAAACGCAUCUUUAAUUGUAAUCAUCUUAUUCAACAAAAGUAUUAAAACAAUAAGCAUGGAAGACUCCAUGGCAUUUUUAGUCAGCUUUAAGAUAACUUUUUAAGUUAUCUUAACUUAAAUGUGACAUUAUUUUGCUCUAGAAUAGGAUUCCCCCUUUUUGCACAAUUAUAAACACUUCAUUGUUAGAUCAAAGCAAUUUGGGACUUAAUCGUGGCCUCUAAUAUGCACAUGUGCAUCAUUGCGUUCUGUAAAAUCUACUGCAUAUGAGCAACAGCUAAUUUUACAACAUGCAAAAUGAUGUGUGCCUGUACAACUAAGAAUAACUCCACUCCCAAGAACGUGACUGCAGGGAUUUUUAGUGCCUUCUGAAUCAUAUGUAAGCCAAACAGAGGGGAAAAUUCUUUGAACGCUAAUCAAUUUGUGCUAUCUAUAUGGAAUAUUGUUAAAUAUAGCUUUUUGAAGCAGAAGCCUUGAACUGAUAUCUUAACAAUACUUGAAAAACUGGUAAAUGUUUCUUUGUAAUUAGCUCUGUGCUGUACAAUAAGAAUACAGUACUAUAAUAAAACCAGAUGUGUCGAUCUUUCA